UACGGGGGGAGCAAGCGUUGUUCGGAUUUACUGGGCGUAAAGGGCGCGUAGGCGGUCAGCACAAGUCAGUUGUGAAAUCUCCGAGCUUAACUCGGAAAGGUCAACUGAUACUGUGCGACUAGAGUGCGGAAGGGGCAACUGGAAUUCUUGGUGUAGCGGUGAAAUGCGUAGAUAUCGAGAGGAACACCUGCGGCGAAGGCGGGUAGCUGGGCCGACACUGACGCUGAUGCGCGAAAGCCAGGGGAGCGAACGGG
rnacentral:rRNA from 1 species